rnacentral:lncRNA from 1 species
AAGACAAGGGGCAGAGGCAGAGAGAGAGAGAGGAGCCACCCUGAGAAGGAAGAGACCAGGAUCACACCUGGAUGAACUAUCACUUUCAAAUGACCUUGUCUUUUCUCGGGCCUUCUGAACUGAUCAUCUCUUCCUUCUGAUACAAGAGGAUCUUCCCUGGAAGACCACUGCACACCUUCUAGUAACACUGCGACCCUGGGAUGAUUCCUCUAAGAACCACAGCAUCUCCUGCCCGGGGGAAGGCCCAUUGAAAUCAACCAAGCCCCACACAGACUAAGAGCAGUGCGUUUGGGUUUGUGGAAUAUUGUGGUUGGAACUGGC